CCGUCAAACUGCUGUGAAAAUCUGCCAUCUGUAGAGAGUUUUGAAAGUAGAGCUGUGGACAUGACAUUGUUGAUGUUCAAGGAUUUCAGAGGGAAAGUGCCAGCAUGAAAAGGUAUAAAAUCAUAAAGGUGUAUCCUGAGUGCCCUACACAAAUAAGGUUCGAGCUUUCUGAAGGCAUUUCCAUUGUGGUUGUGCUUUCGACUCCUGAAAUGGCUUGUGGAAGUUAA
rnacentral:lncRNA from 1 species